AUGAGACUCUGGGACGUCUGUCUUUGCAAACACCGACACGUGUAGGGCAGUAGAAUUCUGGCCCAUUUGUGAGGGGGGAGUCCUGUGGUAUGGGAGAAGAGGCAGAGGCUGACCCUGAAUCGGGUAUUACUGAACUGGGUGAACUUGGAUCAGUCACCCAACUGUUCUGAGCCUCAGCUCAGGCCUGUUUGAGGAUUAAAUGAAACAGUGGUUGUCAGUCACUGAGCUGGAAGAGAACAGGGCUCCAGGAGAGGCUGCCAUAAUUAUGGCUAAGAAAAGUAUCAGCAAUGGAAGCCACCCAAAUACCAAAGAUCAGAGUCUAGACCAGGUGGCUGGAGCCUGAGGCAGCAGAGGUGACUCAAAGCUUCAGGGAUUUCUUUAGCCACUCCACGUGAAAGAUCCACUCCUGCCAUCCUGGCCUCCUGCUCUGCCCUCAACACAGCAGGCACUCUCCAGCCUCAGGGCCUUUGCACCGGCUGCACCUCUGCCUGUAACACUCUUCACCCUGACAUCCACAUGGCUGGUUUUUUUACUUCCUUCAAGUCUUGGCUCAAAAGUCACCUUUUCUUUGAGGCCUUCCCUGGACACCCUAGGUAAACAUCUCAUUCUCCCUUCCUUGUCUUUCUUGGCCUCUCUCUAGCAAUAAUCAUCACCUGAUAAUUUAUUCACCUUGUUUUUUCUGUCUUCCCCACCAGAAUAAAAGUCCCCGGAAGGCAGGGACUUGUCUGUGUCAUUUGCCAGUGCCUGGUAUUCAAGAGGUGCUCAAUAAAUAUUUGUCGAAUGAAUAAAUAAUGAGGGCAACAAGAUAGCACUAAUAAGCUAACAGGAGGUCUCAGAGAGCUCAGUGUCCAUUUUUGCACACCACACAAAACCUGAUAUACUAAGGAUUGUGGAGGACCAGCCUGCAAGGUAAGCACCACACAGG